rnacentral:rRNA from 2 species
UCGGAUUAGCUAGUUGGCGGGGUAAAGGCCCACCAAGGCGACGAUCCGUAGCUGGUCUGAGAGGAUGAUCAGCCACACUGGAACUGAGACACGGUCCAGACUCNUACGGGAGGCAGCAGUGGGGAAUAUUGGACAAUGGGCGCAAGCCUGAUCCAGCCAUACCGCGUGGGUGAAGAAGGCCUUCGGGUUGUAAAGCCCUUUUGUUGGGAAAGAAAUCCAGCCGGCUAAUACCUGGUUGGGAUGACGGUACCCAAAGAAUAAGCACCGGCUAACUUCGUGCCAGCAGCCGCGGUAAUACGAAGGGUGCAAGCGUUACUCGGAAUUACUGGGCGUAAAGCGUGCGUAGGUGGUUGUUUAAGUCUGUUGUGAAAGCCCUGGGCUCAACCUGGGAACUGCAGUGGAAACUGGACGACUAGAGUGUGGUAGAGGGUAGCGGAAUUCCUGGUGUAGCAGUGAAAUGCGUAGAGAUCAGGAGGAACAUCCAUGGCGAAGGCAGCUACCUGGACCAACACUGACACUGAGGCACGAAAGCGUGGGGAGCAAACAGGA